rnacentral:rRNA from 1 species
GACGAACGCUGGCGGCGUGCUUAACACAUGCAAGUCGAACGGAAAGGCCCUGCUUUUGUGGGGUGCUCGUGUGGCGAACGGGUGAGUAACACGCGAGUAAACUGCCCCUGACUGUGGGGUAACUUCAGGAAACUGGGGCUAAAACCGGAGAGGAGCUCCUGCAGCACGGUGGGGGUUGGAAAGUGUCGGCGGUUGUGGAUGGACUCGCGGCUUAUCCGCUUGUUGGUGGGGUAGUGGCUUACCAAGGCUUUGACGGGUAGCCGGCCUGGGAGGGUGACCGGCCACCUUGGGCCUGAGAUACGGCCCAGACUCCUACGGGAGGCAGCAGUGGGGAAUAUUGCACAAUGGGCGGACGCCUGAUGCAGCGACGCCGCGUGCGGGAUGCCGGCCUUCGGGUUGUAAACCGCUUUCGCCUGUGACGAAGCGUGAGUGACGGUAAUGGGUAAGGAAGCACCGGCUAACUACGUG